rnacentral:rRNA from 1 species
ACAGAGGUCCCGAGCGUUGUUCGGAUUCACUGGGCGUAAAGGGUGCGUAGGUGGCUUGGUAAGUUUGAUGUGAAAGCUCAGGGCUCAACCCUGAAAUGGCAUUGAAUACUACUGAGCUGGAGGGUUUGAGGGGGGACUGGAAUACUUGGUGUAGCAGUGAAAUGCGUAGAUAUCAAGUGGAACACCAGUGGCGAAGGCGAGUCCCUGGAAAACUCCUGACACUGAGGCACGAAAGCUAGGGGAGCAAACAGGA